rnacentral:rRNA from 1 species
GGCUAACUCCGUGCCAGCAGCCGCGGUAAUACGGAGGGUGCGAGCGUUAAUCGGAAUUACUGGGCGUAAAGCGCAUGCAGGCGGCCUGUUAAGUCAGAUGUGAAAGACCCGGGGCGUUAACCUCGGAAUUGCAUUUGUAAACUGGCAGGCUAGAGUCUUGUAGAGGGGGGUAGGAAGUUUCUAGGUGUAGCGGUGAAAUAGCGUAGAGAUCUGAAGGAAUACCAGUGGCGAAGGCGGCCCCCUCGGACAAAGACUGACGCUCAGAUGCGAAAGCGUGGGGAGCAAACAGGAUUAGAUACCCCUGGUAG